rnacentral:lncRNA from 1 species
GAGUGUGGAUGGGGUGGCUGGAGGAGAAACCAACAGAGACAUAACAGGGAACCUUUUAACUCAAGUUAAACUCCUGCCUACACUUAAGGAAAAAAGGGGCAGAUAAUUCCAGGCGAAUCUUUCUUUCUGUCCACCUUCUGCAAUCUCAAAUACCAUCUGAGGAACUGUCCUCUUUUCUACUUCCAUCACUGUCCGUGAUCUUCCUUCUCUGAAAAAAAUAUUCUCAAAGGCAUGGACUAGAAGCUGGCACUGACUUCUGAUAACUCCAGCUCUUGGGGCUAUGAGGGCACAGCCCAAAUUCCUACAGAGAAAAUACCCGUCUUCCAGUUUUACACCUG